GAUUUUGUAAUUUGUUGGAAUUGGAAUCAAAUAAUCAGCUCAUAACUCAAUAAAGAAGGGAUUAAGAGCUGCAGUCUGCAGAUCGUUUUUGGGGAUUGCAAUACUAAGAAAGAGGUUGGAUUUAUAUUCAUGAUUUUUUUUUGGAAUUUUCUGUUUGUAGAUUUUGUUUUUAGGGUUAGAUGCAAAUUGGAAUUUUCUUUUUAGAAUUUCAAGAGGAAAAAUAUAUUUAUUUUAUUCUUUUUAAUUUCUUUUUUGGUGGUAGGUUAUAUUCAUACUCAAAUAUGUAGCUCUUUUUAAAUGUUUCGUGGCCCCUCUUUCUCUUUUUCUGAAUUAUUGGCAUUUGUUUGUUUUUCUUAUAUGUUUAAUCUUCAUUCUUCACUUCCAUUUCGAAUAUUCUUUGUUUAUGUAUAUCUGCGGUGGGAAAAGGUAUUUUUCGUGAUGAAGAAUUCAUUCUUUUUUUAUUUAUCUGCUAAAACAGAGUAUUCGCAUGAUUGUGGUGCAUAAAUUGUGAAAGUGAUUUGUGUUAUUAUUUGCUCUAUAAAAGCAUUAAUUAAUAUUGUUGCUUAGUAGCUAAGGAUGCUGAGUUGGUGAAAUAUUUGUCACAUAAAUCAAAGAGUGGAUUUUUAAAAUGGCCACUUUCAUAUUGUAAAGAUAAAAAAUGUCCACUAAAAUAAAAAACUUAAAAAAUGUCCACUGUUACCAAAAUACCCUUCACAUUAAAAAUUAAAAAAAUGUCCACUUUACAUCACCCCUUUAAAAAAUCCCGCAAUUCACAACCAGUGUGAAUUCACAACCAAAAUUUUUUGGUUGUGAAUUCACACUGGUUGUGAAUUGAGAAUUCACAACCAGUCGAAUUCACAACCAUAAUUUUUUGUUUGUGAAUUCACAACUAGUCGAAUUCACAGCCAAAAUUUAAUUCACAACCAGUCGAAUUCACAACCAAAAUUUAAUUCACAAUUAGAAUUUUUUGGUUGUGAAUUCACAACAAACGAAUUCACAACCAAAAUUUAAUUCACAACCAGUCGAAUUCACAACCUGAAUUUAAUUCACAACCUGAAUUUAAUUCACAACUAUAAUUUAUUUUGGUUGUGAAUUCAAAUAGUUGUGAAUUUGAGUUUUUAAAGUUUGGAUUCACAACUAAAACUAGAAUUUAGUUUGGUUGUGAAUUCAUAGAUCUCGUUGUGAAUUCAAGAAUAUUAAAUUGUGAAUUCAUCGAGUUGAUUGUGAAUUGAAGAACAUUAAGUUGUGAAUUCAUAGAUCUGAGCGUGAAUUCAAGAAUAUUAUGUUGUGAAUUCAUAAGAAAAUGAUUCACUAUACAUACAAAAAUAAAUAAAUAAAUAAAUAAGUGAAAAUAUUGUUUUCCACCCUCAACGUUACCUUACCUCAAACAGAAUAUCUGCAAAUUAAUUAUAGUUUGAGUGUGGAGAUGGUGUAAAAAUUAAUCACAGUUUGGACAAGUCUAUAGGUAAUUAGAUUGAAAUAAUUUCUUUAAAAAUGAAUUAAUAUAAACAUGAAUUAGUAUAUACAGAUGUAGGUAAUGAAUUAAAUAGAUUUGAUAUUCUAGUGUUGCACAACCAAAACAGAGACAGGCACAGUGAGAUCCGGCGCCGCCAGCAUGUCCCCGACGGGUCCGAGCUCCGGCAGGUCAUUCCACUCGCUGAGGCCCAGCAGCUGCGGUGUAUCUUCCUUAUGCCUCCUCCCCACCCUGAUGAGAUCAAAGGCCUCUUCCAUGGCGUGUAUGAGCAGCGCCGUCUCCGCCCCAUCUUUCACCCUCUCCUCCCUAUACACGAUGUUGUCCUGGUGGGCCCCCUGCAUCCUAGUGUCCUUCAAUAUCUCGGCGUCCAGCACCGCGUCCCACUGGCUGUCCCCGGCGUAUAUGUCCCACGGCCGACUCACCAGAUCUGGAGCAAGAUGUCGAAGACAACACCCCACCUACCGCCGUCCGACCCCAUCCUCUAUCGCCUGCGCCAGAUCUGCCGUUCAGUGGGCAGCUCACGGCCGCGCCAGAUCUGCCCAGCCACCAUUGUCGAGCUCCAAAAUGUCCAGAUCUGUCGAUCAUUGUCGACGAGAUCUCGUUGUUGUUGGCGAAGCUCUCCAAGUCAGAAUCGAGAGAGAGAGAUAGAAAGAGGCGCCGCGGUGGUGGUGGCUGUGCGGCGCUGCGGAGAUUGAGUGGCGGCGGAGCGGCGGGGGUGAAGCAGGAGAUGGCGGAGGCGACGAGGCGGCUGAUUUCCGACGCCGAGAGAGAGAUGGAGCAGAUCUCGACUCGCUGAGCGGAGGAGCUUCUGGUGGCGCGGAUUUCCGACGUCGAGAGAGAUGGUGGAGGCGGCGGCGGCGGCGGCGGAGGAUGCUACGAGGGAGAGGUGGUGGCGGUAGUGAGAUAGAGAGAGAGUGACGUGAAGGUGAGGAGAGAGAGAGGAGAGAGGGGUAGAAGUGAGUGGAUAUUUUUUAUUAUUUUAAAGUGAGGGUUAUUUCUGUCUUUUCAACCACAAAGUGGACAUUUUUUAUCAUUUUUAUCUUAGUGGACAUUUUUUAUCUUUACAAUAUGAAAGUGGACAGUUUUAUAUAUUUGCUCUAAAUCAAAUACCUAAUGCAUAUCUAUCUAUUAUACUAAAGGAAAGUAGUCUGUCAAAAUUUUCCCUCCUAAACGCAUUUGGGUAAAAUAGUCUUUUCAUAUUUCUCUUUAAAAUUGAUGGCCAAGUCUUUUCAUCAAUCCAAUUUUUUCAGUUUUUACGCAAGAUUGUUCCUUCUCCAUCUUCUAUGUCGGCUCCUCUCUCCUUCCAACUCAAUCUGCGGCUACUCCAUCUUCCGAUUUAACCUUCGUUGCCUCCCAUAUUUCUCUUUUUCCGAUUCAAUGUGCAUUGCCAUCAUUGCCGCAUAGGGAAAUAGCUCAACAUGUGACACAUAUUUCUUCUUCUCCGAUUAUUAAAUUGGACGUUUUCACCACCGACCUAAUGGGAUGAGAGGAGAUGACUUCUCAUUCGCCGAAAAUAAAAUCAGGAACAUCGAUUGCGAUUCAUUUGGCGCAAAAAAAAGGUUUACUUUUUCUGGGGUUGUUGAUUUUGAUAUAUUUCUAACAAGUCAUGUUUCUUGAGCUUUUUUUGCAAGAUGAUAGCAGUUGGGGCCUUUUCUCUUAGAUGAUUGUUGCUUAUACUCAGGUCGACUAGCUGGAGAUUUGGAUAUUGAAUCAGAAAUGAGGGCUUUGAACUUUCUCUUUUCUUUCCCUGCAACUCGCUUAUAUAGUUAUAUUCAAGAGACGCAUCUCUAUCUAUUUCUCAUAUCUUUCUAUAUUGUCUCUAUACCUAUUCUUACUACAAGUUUAAUCUCUUGAAUAUAAGUGAGUUGCAGGGAAAGAAAAAAGAUG
rnacentral:lncRNA from 1 species